CUGGGCCUUAUGAUUAGAGCGGUUAUAUGCAUAUGGCAAAAGGAGAGAAGCUAUUCCAGGUAAAAGCCACAAAAAUAAAGGCAGAAAGUUGGGAAUUCAGAAUCAACAAAGGAGCAGCAACCAUUCAGUCUGGCUGACUUCUCAUCUCAUUUUUGAUAGAGUGGGUUAGGGAUGAGGUAGAGGUAUGGAAAGAAAAGAGGAUAGUUAUAAGUGACUAAUAAAUGUUUGUUGCCAAGGACCACCACAGAAUCCUCAUUAUUUGGAAGCUCCUUUAUGGAAUAUGCUUUGAAAUUUAGGGUGUUCUACAACUACCCCACCACACAGGGCUAGUCCGCUGGAAUUAUGAGACAAAGAAAAAAGAGAACGAGAGGGAGAAAAUGUUCUAUCUUACUUCAACAGGCUCCGUUUUAUUGCA
rnacentral:lncRNA from 10 species